GAUGAACGCUGGCGGCGUGCUUAAUACAUGCAAGUCGAACGUGAGGGUGGAUUUCGGUUCACCUGAAAGUGGCGGACGGGUGAGUAACACGUAGCUGACCUACCCUGUAGUGGGGGAUAACCUGCCGAAAGGCGGGCUAAUACCGCAUGCACUGAUGGGGUUUAGAAACUCAUCAGGAAAGCUUUAGUGCUACAGGCAGGGGCUGCGGCCCAUCAGCUAGUUGGUAGGGUAAUGGCCUACCAAGGCAAUGACGGGUAGGGGACCUGAGAGGGUGGCCCCCCACACUGGGACUGAGACACGGCCCAGACUCCUACGGGAGGCAGCAGUAAGGAAUAUUGGUCAAUGGGCGCAAGCCUGAACCAGCAACGCCGCGUGGAGGAAGAAGGGUUUCGGCUCGUAAACUCCUUUUAGGUGGGAAGAGCAAGGACGGUACCACCUGAAUAAGUCUCGGCUAACUACGUG
rnacentral:rRNA from 1 species